rnacentral:rRNA from 1 species
GACGAACGCUGGCGGCGUGCUUAACACAUGCAAGUCGAACGGAAAGGCCCUGCUUUUGUGGGGUGCUCGAGUGGCGAACGGGUGAGUAACACGUGAGUAACCUGCCCUUGACUUUGGGAUAACUUCAGGAAACUGGGGCUAAUACCGGAUAGGAGCUCCUGCUGCAUGGUGGGGGUUGGAAAGUUUCGGCGGUUGGGGAUGGACUCGCGGCUUAUCAGCUUGUUGGUGGGGUAGUGGCUUACCAAGGCUUUGACGGGUAGCCGGCCUGAGAGGGUGACCGGCCACAUUGGGACUGAGAUACGGCCCAGACUCCUACGGGAGGCAGCAGUGGGGAAUAUUGCACAAUGGGCGGAAGCCUGAUGCAGCAACGCCGCGUGCGGGAUGACGGCCUUCGGGUUGUAAACCGCUUUCGCCUAUGACAAAGCGUGAGUGACGGUAAUGGGUAAAGAAGCACCGGCUAACUACGUG